CCUACGGGUGGCUGCAGUCGAGAAUCUUCGGCAAUGGGCGCAAGCCUGACCGAGCGACGCCGCGUGCGGGAUGAAGGUCUUCGGAUUGUAAACCGCUUUCGGGGGGGAUGAAGUGCCGGGGGGUUCUCCCCUCGGUUUGACAGAGCCCCAAAAGAAGCACGGGCUAAGUUCGUGCCAGCAGCCGCGGUAAUACGAACUGUGCGAACGUUAUUCGGAAUCACUGGGCUUAAAGGGUGCGUAGGCGGCUCGUCAAGUCAGGUGUGAAAUCCCCCGGCUCAACCGGGGAAUGGCGCUUGAAACUAGCGGGCUGGAGCGAGGCAGGGGUGUGUGGAACUUCCGGUGGAGCGGUGAAAUGUGUAGAUAUCGGAAGGAACGCCGGUGGCGAAAGCGGCACACUGGGCCUUGACUGACGCUGAGGCACGAAAGCUAGGGGAGUGAAC
rnacentral:rRNA from 1 species